rnacentral:rRNA from 1 species
UGCGAACUCCUACGGGAGGCAGCAGUGGGGAAUAUUGCACAAUGGGCGGAAGCCUGAUGCAGCGACGCCGCGUGAGGGAUGAAGGCCUUCGGGUUGUAAACCUCUUUCAGCAGGGACGAAGCGUGAGUGACGGUACCUGCAGAAGAAGCACCGGCUAACUACGUGCCAGCAGCCGCGGUAAUACGUAGGGUGCGAGCGUUGUCCGGAAUUACUGGGCGUAAAGAGUUCGUAGGCGGUUUGUCGCGUCGUUUGUGAAAACCCGGGGCUCAACUUCGGGCUUGCAGGCGAUACGGGCAGACUUGAGUGUUUCAGGGGAGACUGGAAUUCCUGGUGUAGCGGUGAAAUGCGCAGAUAUCAGGAGGAACACCGGUGGCGAAGGCGGGUCUCUGGGAAACAACUGACGCUGAGGAACGAAAGCGUGGGUAGCAAACAGGAUUAGAAACCCUUGUAGUCCAGAUG